UGGGGAUAACCCCGGGAAACUGGGGAUAAUACCCCAUAGACUAUGGAUGCUGGAAUGCUUUGUAGUUGAAAGGUCCGCCGCCAUAGGAUGGGUCUGCGGCCGAUUAGGUUGUUGUUGGGGUAACGGCCCAACAAGCCUGUAAUCGGUACGGGUUGUGGGAGCAAGAGCCCGGAGAUGGAUUCUGAGACACGAAUCCAGGCCCUACGGGGCGCAGCAGGCGCGAAAACUUUACAAUGCGGGAAACCGUGAUAAGGGAACUCCGAGUGCCCGUAAAAUCGGGCUGUCCAUCUGUGUAAAUAACAGGUGAAGAAAGGGCCGGGCAAGACCGGUGCCAGCCGCCGCGGUAAUACCGGCGGCUCGAGUGGUGGCCACUAUUACUGGGCUUAAAGCGUUCGUAGCUGGUCUGUUAAGUCUCUGGGGAAAUCUACUGGCUUAACCAAUAGGCGUCUCAGGGAUACUGGCAGACUAGGGACCGGGAGAGGUGAGAGGUACUCCAGGGGUAGGAGUGAAAUCCUGUAAUCCUUGGGGGACCACCUGUGGCGAAGGCGUCUCACCAGAACGGCUCCGACAGUGAGGGACGAAAGCUGGGGGAGCAAACCGGAUUAGAUACCCGGGUAGUCCCAGCCGUAAACGAUGCGCGUUAGGUGUAUCGGUGACCACGAGUCACCGACGUGCCGAAGAGAAAUCGUGAAACGUGCCGCCUGGGAAGUACGGUCGCAAGGCUGAA
rnacentral:rRNA from 1 species